rnacentral:lncRNA from 1 species
UUGCAACUCUUACAUUUUUCACUUUAAAUUUUAAUCAGAAAAUAUCGAAGAAUCAAUAGCUAAACUUUGAAAGGUUCCGAAAGCAAACCUGAUUAUAAGUUAGUGAAUUAAUGAUUUAAUAUGUUACUGAAUAAUCAAUAAUUGCUAUCAGAUGUUCUGAAUCGCUCUUACUAAAUAUGUUUUGGGAAUUUUGUGAUUACAUGAUGAAGUUUCAGGCAGGCAUGCUGAACUGAAGAAGACAUCAGCAGUGUCACAGACAGUGGAUUGAGUGCAGCCUCAGCAGGUUUUGCAGAUGACACCAAGCUGAGUUGUGUGGGUGACACUCCUGAAGGAUGGGAUGCCAUCCAGAGGGACCUGGACAAGCCCAAGCAGUGGCCCAUGGGAAUCUCAUGAGGUUUAACAGAUCAAGUCCAAGCUGCUGCAGCUGGGACAGGACAACCCUUGGUACCAAUCCAGGCUGGACAUGAGCAGCCCCAGAGCAGCCCUGGGAGAAGGACUUGGGGGUGCUGGUGAUGAGAGGCUGGACAUGGCCCGGCCGUGUGCGCUGGGAGCCCAGGAACCCCCCGUGUGCUGGGCUGCAUCCAGAGCCCCGUGGGCAGCAGGGCAGGGAGGGGAUUCUGCCCCUCUGCCCCUCUCUGCUCAGACCCCACCUGCAGGGCUGCAUCCAGCCCUGGGCUCCCAGCACAGGAAGGACAGGGAGCUGCUGGAGCCGGCCCAGAGGAGACACCAAGGUGAUCAGAGGGAUGGAACAGCUCUGCUGUGAGGAAAGGCUGAGAGAAUUGGGGCUGUUCAGCCUGGAAGAAAGAAGGCUUUGGGGUGACUGAAUUGCAGCCUUCCAGCACCUGAAGAGAGCCCACAGGAAAGAUGGAGAGAGACUAUUUACAGGGCCCUGGGGUGACAGGACAAGGGGGAAUGGGUUCAAACUGACAGAGAGUAGGUUUAGGUCAGAUAUUAGGCAGAAAUUCCUUACUGUGAGGUUCGUGAGGCAUUGGCACAGGAAAAGCUGUGGCUGCCCUGUCCCUGUGAGUGUUCAAGGCCAGUUUGGAUGGGGCUCUGAGCAACCUGGUCUAGUGGAAAGUGCCCCUGCCCAUGGCAGGUCCCUUGGAACUCAAACCCUUCUAAGGUUCUAUGAUUCCCUGAUUUUCAGAAGCCCCUAUUCUGAUGUCACAAGGAUCUGUGCUCCAACAGUGGAUUUGCCACCUCAGUUGAGCCAUGGCUGCCUCCAAGCUGACCCAUGUCCUAGGUUAUCUGUCCAGCUCUGGGUGGGAGCUCAUGGCUUUUCACCUUCUGUGCACAAAGGCGGUGUCUGGCAGCUUGGAGUGAGGAGCAGGAUUGCUUUGGCCCAGCGAGGGCAGCACUGGAAACCUGUGUGUGCAUCCAAUAAUGCAAUGGCUGGAAGACAAGGAAGUGGCAGAGUAGCUGGGUGGAUGCAGUGGAUAUUGGCAAUAAUUCUGAUGCUGUGGGGUCACCAGAUCAGUGGACAAGGACAAGCUUGUCUACGAGGAAAGAAGAUCAAAGACAGAGGGACCAGGUUUGCCAGCUUUCCUGCUCUUUGGACACUGGGGAAAUUAGAACAGUCCCUCGUAAACUUAGAUUUGUAGUCCUGUCCUGAACAAAUAUGUUCAUAUAUAUGGAAGUUAAAGAAGAGGACAAUUUGUCAUAUCUCUAGAGAAAACUACUACCUUCUUUAAGAACUAAUUUAUCAAUUUACACAAGGUCUUUCAGCUCCAGGAUGGGAUCAGCUGGAAUGUCUCAUCAGGACAUCUGCUGGAGUUUUUGUAGCUCCUGGAAGCACAGCAUGCAGACCCUGUGCCAUGAGCUUCUGUGGCUCCAAAGCCUUCCAGCUUUAUUUGUGGAAAUAUCUCUCCUAGCUGGGCAGUGGCUACCCGAGGAAACAGAUACUCCUGUAAUUCAUGGUGGCGGUGAAAAUGGAUUUUCUCUCAGGAUUCCUUGUUUCCUCACCUUUUAGUGUAGCUGAUCUGACACCUGAAGCAGAUUUCCAUGGUUAUGUGGGAAAUCAGGUCACUCUGGCACUGGGUGGGAUCCUCUCUUGAGGAGCCACUUGGUUAUUUUUAUGUAUUUGACACUUUUCCUUCUCUUUGUUUUGCAACUCUUUUUGCAUCCAAAUUCACUCUUUUUACUGCUUUUUAAUGCACGUUAGAUAAACUACGCUUGGACUUUGUUACCCUGGAAAACCAAUUCUGCCCUGCAGAAAUAAAACAAAUUAAUUGUAACCA